rnacentral:tmRNA from 1 species
GGGGCUGACAAAGCUUAGACGGAUCAUUAACAGGCGUGAGGCAUAUCGAUUGAAUACCGUAAGUAUUAAAUAAGUGCUAAAAACACAAAAGUAGCGCAUGUUGCAUACAUGCCUGCAUAUGCUUAAUAUUAUUUAGGCUGGUCUAAUGUUUGAGGUUCCGUAGAACAUAGAUUAUCAUACAACGGAAAUACGGUCACAAAAACGGCACAUUGUGAUUCGACAAUUAGCCAUGGCGGUUUUAAGUUUCGUUUUCUGCAGCUUAAAAUAGUCGCCAAGACAAAACAGAAAACUAUAUAUGUAGAAUCGCGUCCACGUGAUGACUCGGACCCGGAGGCAGUAUCCGGCAGCUCCACCA